GUUUGAUUGGCUCUGAUUGAAGGAUAGUGGGUAGACUUUAAAGCAAGCAUGUCUUUAAAGCUCUACCCACUAUCCUUCAAUCAGAGCCAA
rnacentral:pre_miRNA from 1 species